CUACGGGAGGCAGCAGUGGGGAAUAUUGCGCAAUGGGGGAAACCCUGACGCAGCGACGCCGCGUGAGUGAGGAAGGCUUUCGGGUCGUAAAGCUCUGUCAGAGGGGAAGAAGAUGCUAAGGUUAAGAGCUGUAGUAUUUGACGGUACCCUCAAAGGAAGCACCGGCUAACUCCGUGCCAGCAGCCGCGGUAAUACGGAGGGUGCAAGCGUUGUUCGGAUUUAUUGGGCGUAAAGAGCAUGUAGGCGGUCUGUUAAGUCAGGGGUGAAAGCCCCGGGCUCAACCUGGGAAGUGCCUUUGAUACUGGCAGACUAGAGUACGGGAGAGGGUAGUGGAAUUCCAAGUGUAGAGGUGAAAUUCGUAGAUAUUUGGAGGAACACCAGUGGCGAAGGCGGCUACCUGGACCGAUACUGACGCUGAGAUGCGAAAGCGUGGGGAGCAAACGGGAUUAGAUACCCCCGUAGUC
rnacentral:rRNA from 1 species